rnacentral:rRNA from 1 species
CCUACGGGAGGCUGCAGUGAGGAAUAUUGGUCAAUGGGCGUAAGCCUGAACCAGCCAAGUCGCGUGAGGGAUGAAGGUUCUAUGGAUCGUAAACCUCUUUUAUAAGGGAAUAAAGUGCGGGACGUGUCCCGUUUUGUAUGUACCUUAUGAAUAAGGAUCGGCUAACUCCGUGCCAGCCGCCGCGGUAAUACGGAGGAUCGGAGCGUUAUCCGGAUUUAUUGGGUUUAAAGGGUGCGUAGGCGGCCUUUUAAGUCAGCGGUGAAAGUCUGUGGCUCAACCAUAGAAUUGCCGUUGAAACUGGGAGGCGUGCGGAUGUGUGAGGCAGGCGGAAUGCGUGGUGUAGCGGUGAAAUGCUUAGAUAUCACGCAGAACCCCGAUUGCGAAGGCAGCCUGCCAAGCCAUGACUGACGCUGAUGCACGAAAGCGUGGGGAUCAAACAGGAUUAGAUACCCGUGUAGUC